GGUGGAGUUUCCCUUCACUGCAUCUCUGUUGGCUCCAAACUCAUUCUAUUUAAAAAAUACAAAAUUGACUAGAUCAUCCAAGACUUAAGUCUGCUAAGUAAUAAAAAGUACAUGUUGGCCUUUGUAAUAUGAUUUAGCCUUUAAAAAUAAAUUUUAGACAGAUCAACAACUCGUAGUGACUCUCCUUUAUUCUAUUUGUGCUUUGAGAUUAGAGAAGAUGUUAAAAUUGCCUUCAAAACCCUACCCUCCUCUUGUUUUACACUGAAGAGUGAAUUGUUUGUCUUGUCAGGAGACAGUUUAAAUGAUCUGUUAGUAAAUAGAUGUCUUUCUAAUUAUCACUAUUAUUAUUAUGUCUAUCUCCAGCUGAACAUACUCUUUUUUGGUUUUAACAAUUAGAAGGAUGAUUGCAGACUCAAUCUGUUAUGCAUCUUCUUCUCUGUUAGAGUUGAAACACUGUGUAUUAUUUGCACAGUGAACAAUGAAACAGAAGAAAGAACCAACAAAAAAGAAAAAAAAAAGAAAGGAAGAGAAAAGAGAAAGCAAAAGCAAAAGCAAGAGAACUAAGAAAAACCCACAGAGUUACAGAGCAACAAGAGUAACAGCUACUGACAUGCACAUUGAACUCAUCCUGCCAACUAAAGAUUGGUCUGGUUAAAGACAAACAAGUUCCUCUUGCUGAGCUAAGCAGAAGGUGGUCAUUCAAGAUGCACACCUUGCUCUCUAACAGGAUCCAUCUCAUGCAGCUCAAUUUCUGAGCAGCCUUGUGCAGGCUUGUUUUGGACUGCUAUCUCCUCCUGCAAGCAAAAUAGCAACUUCUACUCAGUCCUGCAUGAAGGAGAUGUGUCCAGCAAUUCUCUUCUGCUCCCCAAGGGA